CGGCGGAUGCCUUGGCUUGCAGAGGCGAUGAAGGACGUGAUAAGCUGCGAAAAGCUGCGGGGAUUGGCACAUACAAAUUGAUCCGCAGAUAUCCGAAUGGGGCAACCCGGCAUGUUGAAGACAUGUCAUCCGUAAGGAGGCGAACCCGGAGAACUGAAACAUCUAAGUACCCGGAGGAGAAGAAAACAAAAGUGAUUCCGAUAGUAGCGGCGAGCGAAAUUGGAUUAGCCCAAACCAGUAUUGUUACGGCAAUGCUGGGGUUGUAGGACUGCGAUAUUUGAGCUACAAUGAAUUAGAAUGCUUUGGAAAGAGCAACCAUAGAGGGUGAUAGUCCCGUAUAAGUAAAGCGUAGUAAGAUAGCAGUAUCCUGAGUAGUGCGGGACACGAGUAAUCCUGUGUGAAUCUGUGGGGACCAUCCCAUAAGGCUAAAUACUCCUGAGAGACCGAUAGUGAACUAGUACCGUGAGGGAAAGGUGAAAAGAACCCUGAAUAAGGGAGUGAAAUAGAACCUGAAACCAUACGCUUACAAGCGGUCGGAGCCAUUCGUGGUGACGGCGUGCCUUUUGCAUAAUGAGCCUACGAGU
rnacentral:rRNA from 1 species